GAAGAAGAAGAAGAAGAAGAUGGCCUACAGAAUUGGAAUGAAGAACAAGGCUUUUGCACAAGCUCUGAUCCCCAAAUGCCUCAAAUUAGGCUCUUCUGGAUGUGAGAGGGACAUGAAGUCAAGGAAAGGAAGAAGUGAAGUAACGUACCAGCUCACUGCAGCUCAGCGUUCUCUGCCUAACACAGUCCCUGCCCCUGGACUAGGCUGUUACUCAAGAAACCUAGAGUUUUUUAUUUUUCCUUUUAACACUAACUCUGAGGAAUAAAGGUGACCAUCAUGGUAAGGCACUUAUCAGACCCCCGUCUACCUGAGAUGAGUUUUAGCUCUGAUUAGAAAGAAAUAGUGACCAUAUCUAGGCUUGAUGCAGAUUUCUGUUUUUUACCUGUUGGGUAUCCAAUAGCUUGGUAGAAGUUUGAAAGAAAUUCUCUUUGUCAGAUGGAAGGCAUUAAUUUCUACUGUAUUAACUUGUGUCUACAUUUUGUGUGUGCGUGUGUGUAUCUAAAUUUGUUAUGGUUUUAAUACAUGGUUUAACUUUCACCUUGUGAAAGUAUUGCCUUA